UUCAUAUCUUCAAUUGUGUGCUACUUUUUAAAUUUGUAUGGUAAUUUUUAUCUUCUUUUUCUUAUUGUAUAUAUCUGUAUUGAAUAUUAAUUUUUUAUUCGUGGCAGAGUAAAAGAUUAUUUAUUUUCUAAUGGCAACUCAUUUUAGGUGAGUUUGACUUUGGGGGCUCACUAUGGUAAUACAGAUCUCAAGGAUCAAAGAGCGCGCUUAUAGAGGUACUUACAAAUCAUCCAUCAAGGGGAUCCCCAGAUCAUCCGUGAGAGUUGAACUCACGAUCUCUCGGUGUGUGAGUCAACUCAUUACCAAUGAUUAAAUAUUGGACAUCUGAAGUAAAUAUCACACGUCAAGACUAAAUGACACACCCUUAUAUUUCAUAUCAUUUUAAAAAUUAUUCUUAUACUUUUGGUUUCAACCAUGAUCUAUAAAAUAGUUUUUAGAAUUCAUUAUGUAUAAGUCUUAUCAAAGACACAUUUUUAAUGUAUACUCAUUUUAAUACCAACUUUAAAAUUCUUCUUAUCUUUUCAAUUUUAAUAAAAAUUCAAAAUCAUAUACACUUA